rfam:Nocardioides sp. Root151 contig_1, whole genome shotgun sequence.
AACCCCCCGCGUGGCGGCAUCUCGCUGAACUCCCCCAGGGCCGGAAGGCAGCAAGGGCAGGUGAGCUCUGUCGGGUGCGCGGGGGGCCUUU